UCGAGAAUCUUCUGCAAUGGGCGCAAGCCUGACAGAGCGACGCCGCGUGGAGGAUGAAGGCCUUCGGGUUGUAAACUCCUGUCAGGGUUUAAGAACGCGGGCGGGCGAACAGUCCGUCCCGCUGACGAAGGACCCAGAGGAAGCCACAGCUAACUUCGUGCCAGCAGCUGCGGUAAUACGAAGGUGGCGAGCGUUGUUCGGAUUUACUGGGCAUAAAGGGCGCGUAGGCGGUUCCGCAAGCAGCGUGUGAAAUCCCACGGCUCAACCGUGGAACAGCGCGCUGGACUGCGGUUCUAGAGGACCGGAGGGGGGUGUGGAACUCUCGGUGUAGCGGUGAAAUGCGUAGAUAUCGAGAGGAACGCCGUUCGCGAAGGCAGGUUCUAGGACUAUACUGACGCUCAUGGACGACAGCUCGGGGAGCAAAAGGGAUUAGAGACCCCUGUAGUCCGAGCCGUAAACAUUCUUUGCUAGCUGGGUUGCUUUUUAGUGGUCC
rnacentral:rRNA from 1 species